AGCCGAAACGGCCCUGCGGGGCCGUCUGCCGGGGAUGGCCGCCCGAUACUGAUGAGGCAGGCCAGA
rnacentral:hammerhead_ribozyme from 1 species